CUGUAAGAUUCACUGUCAAAUUCUGUAGCUAGACUAAGCAUUUAAAGAGCUCUACCUAGGGUUCAGAGGCUUGGGAUGGUAAUACUCACUUGAUAUUUCACUUCAGUAACACACCCUUUCUCUCUCCAGUCCACAGAAUCAGGCAAUAUCCGAUUAGGGUUUGACUUAUAUGUGAUAUUUCUCUGCCACUGGCUGGGAACUCUCAGGGAACUCAUCAAAGACAUCACUUCUUCACUGGUCGACUUUAUAAACACGGUGCACUUAGGCUACACUAAAUUUGUUAAAACAUUUUUCUUUCUUCAAUAAUAAAUUAACCUUAGUUUAAUGCAACUUUUUUACUUAAUAAACUUUUAAUUUUUUAAAUGUUUUGUCUUUAAUAGUAACCCCUUAAAAUACAAA
rnacentral:lncRNA from 1 species